UACGAAGGGGGCUAGCGUUGCUCGGAAUUACUGGGCGUAAAGGGCGCGUAGGCGGCCCUGUUAGUCAGGCGUGAAAUUCCUGGGCUCAACCUGGGGACUGCGCUUGAUACGGCAGAGCUAGAGGAUGGAAGAGGGUCGCGGAAUUCCCAGUGUAGAGGUGAAAUUCGUAGAUAUUGGGAAGAACACCGGUGGCGAAGGCGGCGACCUGGUCCAUUACUGACGCUGAGGCGCGACAGCGUGGGGAGCAAACAGG
rnacentral:rRNA from 1 species